rnacentral:rRNA from 1 species
CCUACGGGCGGCUGCAGUGGGGAAUAUUGCACAAUGGGCGAAAGCCUGAUGCAGCGACGCCGCGUGAGGGAAGACGGUCUUCGGAUUGUAAACCUCUGUCUUCGGUGACGACCAAAGACGGUAGCCGAGGAGGAAGCCACGGCUAACUACGUGCCAGCAGCCGCGGUAAUACGUAGGUGGCAAGCGUUGUCCGGAAUUACUGGGUGUAAAGGGAGCGCAGGCGGGUAGACAAGUCAGGUGUGAAAAUUAUGGGCUUAACCCAUAACUUGCAUUUGAAACUGUUUAUCUUGAGUGGAGUAGAGGCAGGCGGAAUUCCGAGUGUAGCGGUGAAAUGCGUAGAGAUUCGGAGGAACACCAGUGGCGAAGGCGGCCUGCUGGGCUCUAACUGACGCUGAGGCUCGAAAGUGUGGGUAGCAAACAGGAUUAGAUACCCGUGUAGUC